AAAAAGGGUGCCCAUGUAUCUAGGGAAUCACAAGGAGCCGGGUUGAUUCGAUCGAUCGGUCCACGUCAACCACCUCCGGCGCAGGCCCAUGGAAUGCGGUGGAAGACGAAUACCCCGACGCCAGUUGGCGGCGCUUCCGUGACGCAGUCCACCAACCAUAUGGGCAGAGCCAUGGGCUUCGCUUCGCUUUGCUUUGCUUCGCUUUGGUUUGCUUUGGUUUGAUUUGGUGGAGCCACACUUGGUGGAGCCACAAUUGGUGGAGCGCCUGCGCACGCGCCGCGAACAAACGGAGCUGGCUGCUCAGUGGAAAACCUGCAAUUUCCAUUCAUUUCGGAUGGCAGCAUGGCAGCGAUCAUCGUGUCAUGGCUCGUGGGUGGUUUUCGGCCGGGGGAGGACUACUACUCCCCACUGAGACGGAGGCUUUAAAAUAAAUCACGCGUGCAUUUGCAUUGGCUACUAGUUUUUGCGUUUCUUGCAGUUAAAUUUCGCCAUUACUUAUCCAAUCUCGGAUCUUCUGAAGCCACCUUUAAUGACGGCCGAAUUAACCGGAUUAAUGGAACCACUGACUUCAGAUUUUCCCCAACUUGCAGGGCAUGGGAGCUCGGUCCCCAUUGAUGGGUUUUACCAUUGUUCAUUUUCUUUGUUUUUCCGUUUUGCCGUUUUGUUUUGGCUGUGUGUGAACUUCUUCUAAAGCUUAUGCCUUUUUUCAGCAGCUCACGCAGACGGAAGGCACGGAAAACUGCACUCAAAAGCUAGGAGCCCCACACCGAAGACCCAAACUCAGUCAACGGAAAUAGCAGGAGUGCAGCGUGUGUUUAAUACUCACAAAGAUAUGUUGCAUGGUCGCCCAGCCCCUGGAUUUAUUCAGUCCCCCACCCGAUUCCCCGGUUAACUUGAGUACAUGGCACGUAACGCGAGAAAUAGAGAUAUACGUUACAAAUAGAUCGCAUGCA